rnacentral:ribozyme from 16 species
AUUUUUUUGUUUUUGUUUGUUUCGUUUCGUUUUUUUUUUUUUUUUUUUUUUUGUCCCUGAAAUUU